CUUCGCGGUAAAAUUAGAUGUGAAGGCACUUGGGGUCUUGUUUCAAAUGCGGUCUGGGCGCCCUGAACAUAACCUUCUGCUUGUUGCAUGUAGUUUGGUUGCUGAAGUUCCGUAUAUCCUUGCAUUUGCUCUUGCACAGCAUGUAUGGAUUGUAGGUUGGAGUUGGAAUUGAAGUUGGAAGAUUGAGGUUCAGAUCCACGUGCCUUGGAAGUGAUGUUUCCGAUUCGGAGCCAGAAAUUUGGGGAACUUGUUCCGCGCUGCUCUGAUUGUCUGCCCCUGGCACUUGCAUUGCCAUGCCUGCAAUCCGUCAGCCUGCAGUUUUUUUAUAGGUUAUCGCAUUCUUACAGCAACUGAGCUUUUCCUUCAGAAUUGUGAAUGACCUAGAGUCAUGAUCACUCUGACACUUGCGUUAUGAGAAUUUUUUCGAUUGUAACCUGUGGUGACUGCAGCCAAUACUGAAAUCCAUAAGAUCAUUUGUAUUCUUGUAAAGCUGUCCGCUCGGUUCAAUAAAAGAAAUUGGGCACGUGCGGACUCCUAAUCUGCUGGUCAUACGUAAUUUUUCGUGAACCACAGAAUCAAAGGACCAACGCUCAGACUUCAGAUAACCCGUCACCACAUCCAUGUCAGUGAGCAACAUCACAACCACCCCACAUGUGGUGUGGUGGGACAAACGACAACGCUCUUGUUCACACACCUAUUUUCCGAUUGUCGCGCAAUGAGGAACGCAGGCUUCCGCAGCAAUCAAUACGACAUCAACAUUGCCUUGCGUGGCUAGAGAAGUGAACUCCGCCCCAGCGCGCGAGAGCCUAGCAGCACAAUAGUGCCGCAGCUGCUCUGUCCCUU